ACGAACGCUGGCGGCGCGCCUAACACAUGCAAGUCGCACGAGCGAGAGAGAGCUUGCUUUCUCGAGCGAGUGGCGAACGGGUGAGUAACGCGUGAGGAACCUGCCUCAAAGAGGGGGACAACAGUUGGAAACGACUGCUAAUACCGCAUAAGCCCACGACCCGGCAUCGGGUAGAGGGAAAAGGAGCAAUCCGCUUUGAGAUGGCCUCGCGUCCGAUUAGCUAGUUGGUGAGGUAACGGCCCACCAAGGCGACGAUCGGUAGCCGGACUGAGAGGUUGAACGGCCACAUUGGGACUGAGACACGGCCCAGACUCCUACGGGAGGCAGCAGUGGGGAAUAUUGCACAAUGGGGGAAACCCUGAUGCAGCGACGCCGCGUGGAGGAAGAAGGUCUUCGGAUUGUAAACUCCUGUUGUUGAGGAAGAUAAUGACGGUACUCAACAAGGAAGUGACGGCUAACUACGUG
rnacentral:rRNA from 1 species